CCCCGCUUAGCUCAACGGUAGAGCGGGCGGCUGUAGCCCGCCAGGUUGCAGGUUCAAAUCCCGCAGCGGGGA
rnacentral:tRNA from 1 species